UACGAAGGAUGCAAGCGUUAUCCGGAUUUAUUGGGUUUAAAGGGAGCGUAGGCGGUCUUAUAAGUCAGUGGUGAAAUCCUAUCGCUUAACGAUAGACGUGCCAUUGAUACUGUAGGACUUGAGUACAGAUGCCGUUGGCGGAAUGUGUCAUGUAGCGGUGAAAUGCAUAGAUAUGACACAGAAACACCGAUUGCGAAGGCAGCUGACGAAAACUGU
rnacentral:rRNA from 1 species